AGUUCCAUGGCCGCCUCCUGAAUUCUGGGCCCACCCGUGGGGUCCACCUCCACCCCCAAGACGAAAGGCACCUUGUGCUUCAGCUCCUUGGACAGUUUGGUAAUUUCAACCAAACCUACCGAUCUGAAACAAAACGCUUCGUUUUGAGAUAGGGACUUUAUCUGUAACUGAUUCUUCAGCUUUAGGAAAUCUUCAGGGUCCAUCAACAGGUGGAGGUCUUCGAUAUCGGCGAGAAGCAUCCAGAUCCUCUCCAGCAGGUAGCAGUCGUUGGCGGCUUCUUUGAAUUCCUUCUUCUCGAUUCGCCUA
rnacentral:lncRNA from 1 species